rnacentral:rRNA from 1 species
UACGGAGGGUGCAAGCGUUAUCCGGAUUCACUGGGGUUAAAGGGUGCGUAGGUGGGGAGGUAAGUCAGCGGUGAAAUCCCCGAGCUUAACUUGGGAACUGCCAUUGAUACUAUCUCUCUUGAAUAUCUUGGAGGUGAGCGGAAUAUGUCAUGUAGCGGUGAAAUGCUUAGAUAUGACAUAGAACACCAAUUGCGAAGGCAGCUCACUACACGGUAAUUGACACUGAGGCACGAAAGCGUGGGGAUCAAACAGG